rnacentral:rRNA from 1 species
GCGAUCGCGAAGGGAUCUUUAGCCAGGGCCUUUGAUCAUCCCUAUUGGACCUUUCCCUGAGAUUGGAUUUGGUGCUUUCGGGGACAUUUGAGACAGGGUGCUGCAUGGCUGUCGUCAGACUCGUGUCGUGAGAUGUUGGGGUAAGUCCCCGUGACGNGCGCGACCCCUUGUCGUUAGUUGCUACAUUUAGUUGGGCACUCUAAUGAGACUGCCGGUGACAGACCGGAGGAAGGUGGGGAUGACGUCAAGUCCUCAUGGCCCUUAUAGGUGGGGCUACACACGUCAUACAAUGGCUGGUACAAAGGGUUGCCACACCCGCGAGGGGGAGCUGAUCCCAUAAAACCAGUCGUAGUCCGGCAUCGCAGUCUGCGCACUCGACUGUCGCUGCAAGCUCGAUAAUCGCAUAGU